CAAAUGUUGCCCAGAUUGGUCGCAAACUCCUAGGCUCAAGCAAUCCUCAUGUCUCAGCCCCCCAAAGCAUUGAGAUUACAGGCGUGAGCGACAGCGCCUAGCAAGAGAGUCUGGAACAGAGUGAUGCAACACACUUAAACAGGGUCACAUUCUAGCUGACGUGUUGAGAAUAGACUGAAGGUGAGCAGAGAACAAGCAAGGAGACUAGUACACAAGGACGUUUCAACAAUUCUACUUCAUCUGAUGCCUAUACUUUAGACAACGCAUGAGGCAAACUGUUAGAGCCACUGCCAGUUGCUCAAGCUGAUACACUGACUCCAGAAUCUCUGCUCCAUGAAGUAAACAGCCAUACUGAGGAAGACCAUGUGACAAAAAACUAUGGGCAGCCUCUACGAACUGUGGGUGGCCUCCAGCCAAUAGCCAUCAAGAACCCAGAGGCAUCAAGAAUCUACAACCAACGGAAAUGAAUUCUGAAUAGACAACCUGAAUGAGCUUGGCA